rnacentral:rRNA from 1 species
CCGAAAAUGUACCGGGGCUAAACAUAUUACCGAAGCUGUGGAUUGUCCUUUGGACAAUGGUAGGAGAGCGUUCUAAGGGCGUUGAAGCAUGAUCGCAAGGACAUGUGGAGCGCUUAGAAGUGAGAAUGCCGGUGUGAGUAGCGAAAGAUGGGUGAGAAUCCCGUCCACCGAUUGACUAAGGUUUCCAGAGGAAGGCUCGUCCGCUCUGGGUUAGUCGGGUCCUAAGCUGAGGCCGACAGGCGUAGGCGAUGGAUAACAGGUUGAUAUUCCUGUACCACCUAUAAUCGUUUUAAUCGAUGGGGGGGACGCAGUAGGAUAGGCGAAGCGUGCGAUUGGAUUGCACGUCUAAGCAGUAAGGCUGAGUAUUAGGCAAAUCCGGUACUCGUUAAGGCUGAGCUGUGAUGGGGAGAAGACAUUGUGUCUUCGAGUCGUUGAUUUCACACUGCCGAGAAAAGUCUCUAGAUAGAAAAUAGGUGCCCGUACCGCAAACCGACACAGGUAGUCAAGAUGAGAAUUCUAAGGUGAGCGAGCGAACUCUCGUUAAGGAACUCGGCAAAAUGACCCCGUAACUUCGGGAGAAGGGGUGCUCUUUAGGGUUAACGCCCAGAAGAGCCGCAGUGAAUAGGCCCAAGCGACUGUUUAUCAAAAACACAGGUCUCUGCUAAACCGUAAGGUGAUGUAUAGGGGCUGACGCCUGCCCGGUGCUGGAAGGUUAAGAGGAGUGGUUAGCUUCUGCGAAGCUACGAAUCGAAGCCCCAGUAAACGGCGGCCGUAACUAUAACGGUCCUAAGGUAGCGAAAUUCCUUGUCGGGUAAGUUCCGACCCGCACGAAAGGCGUAACGAUUUGGGCACUGUCUCAACGAGAGACUCGGUGAAAUCAUAGUACCUGUGAAGAUGCAGGUUACCCGCGACAGGACGGAAAGACCCCGUGGAGCUUUACUGUAGCCUGAUAUUGAAAUUCGGCACAGCUUGUACAGGAUAGGUAGGAGCCUUUGAAACGUGAGCGCUAGCUUACGUGGAGGCGCUGGUGGGAUACUACCCUAGCUGUGUUGGCUUUCUAACCCGCACCACUUAUCGUGGUGGGAGACAGUGUCAGGCGGGCAGUUUGACUGGGGCGGUCGCCUCCUAAAAGGUAACGGAGGCGCUCAAAGGUUCCCUCAGAAUGGUUGGAAAUCAUUCAUAGAGUGUAAAGGCAUAAGGGAGCUUGACUGCGAGACCUACAAGUCGAGCAGGGUCGAAAGACGGACUUAGUGAUCCGGUGGUUCCGCAUGGAAGGGCCAUCGCUCAACGGAUAAAAGCUACCCCGGGGAUAACAGGCUUAUCUCCCCCAAGAGUUCACAUCGACGGGGAGGUUUGGCACCUCGAUGUCGGCUCAUCGCAUCCUGGGGCUGUAGUCGGUCCCAAGGGUUGGGCUGUUCGCCCAUUAAAGCGGUACGCGAGCUGGGUUCAGAACGUCGUGAGACAGUUCGGUCCCUAUCCGUCGUGGGCGUAGGAAAUUUGAGAGGAGCUGUCCUUAGUACGAGAGGACCGGGAUGGACAUACCUCUGGUGUACCAGUUGUCGUGCCAACGGCAUAGCUGGGUAGCUAUGUGUGGACGGGAUAAGUGCUGAAAGCAUCUAAGCAUGAAGCCCCCCUCAAGAUGAGAUUUCCCAACUUCGGUUAUAAGAUCCCUCAAAGAUGAUGAGGUUAAUAGGUUCGAGGUGGAAGUAUGGUGACAUGUGGAGCUGACGAAUACUAAUCGAUCGAAGACUUAAUCAA